GAUGAACGCUGGCGGCGUGCCUAAUACAUGCAAGUCGAGCGAACGGACGAGAAGCUUGCUUCUCUGAUGUUAGCGGCGGACGGGUGAGUAACACGUGGAUAACCUACCUAUAAGACUGGGAUAACUUCGGGAAACCGGAUCUAAUACCGGAUGAUAUUUUGAACCGCAUGGUUCAAAAGUGAAAGACGGUCUUGCUGUCACUUAUAGAUGGAUCCGCGCUGCAUUAGCUAGUUGGUAAGGUAACGGCUUACCAAGGCAACGAUGCAUAGCCGACCUGAGAGGGUGAUCGGCCACACUGGAACUGAGACACGGUCCAGACUCCUACGGGAGGCAGCAGUAGGGAAUCUUCCGCAAUGGGCGAAGGCCUGACGGAGCAACGCCGCGUGAGUGAUGAAGGUCUUCGGAUCGUAAGACUCUGUUAUUAGGGAAGAACAUAUGUGUAAGUAACUGUGCACAUCUUGACGGUACCUAAUCAGAAAGCCACGGCUAACUACGUG
rnacentral:rRNA from 1 species